UUGGAUUACGGUCAUCUGAAGAUCGCACCCCCCAGUCGUACGGGGGGCCUUAUCGGCGCGAAGCCCAGUUUGAUGCCAACGCCGCUAAGGCGGCCCUUGGCUCACCGGGCCAACGGUCAUCGUACCAACGGUACAUUCAAGAACUAUUCAUAAUCUUCCAAUACCAAACGGUAUUUAUCAAUACCACCUUUUAUCGUUGGAUAUUUUCCUUUCGUAACUGCUUUGCCAACUGCAAGCCUUGUUACAACUUUGGUAUCUUAGACCAACCGGUCAAAAGACCUCGGAGUCGAGUACUCCAACGCUUCCGCACAUACCUUUUAGUUUUUUCAAACAUUUUCUACUUAUCCUUCAUGGCAAGCCCAAGGAACCCUCAACCCGCCCAGUCGGCGGAGGCUGACCAUGAGCGCUACCAGCUGCGCCAGGUGAGCCCUUCAAAAGCACAAAAACUGGUACAUAAGGUCCAGGACAUGUACGAAAAGUACGUGAGGCGUGCCCAGCGUAGGGGCAUCACACCGACGUCGCGCAUGUUUGACAAAGUCAGACAAUUUUGCGAGGAGCAAGACUAUCGCUCCGCACUAGGCUUCCUAAUGGAAGCUAACGAGGAACUCUCUUACGUGCAGAAAAGCCGCG
rnacentral:lncRNA from 1 species